rnacentral:lncRNA from 1 species
UGGGGCGAUAUUUCCAAUAUUAAAUUGAAACGUUUGAACCCUCUCUCCCCAUUCAUGCACACAUACUAGUCAGCGUUCUUAGUUGCAUAAAAUAAAAUCUAGUCUACCCAGUGUAAGCACAAAUAAUUUUAAGUGUGAAGGUAACUUAAAGAAUUGUUGAAAAAGGUGAAUCAGCUUCCAAGAAUGAUUUCAGAAGCCCCAUGCUGCUCAGGGAGCUACGCCUCUUCUUGGUUAGGACGCUCUGACCCGCUUAGCUGCCUGCUGCAGAAUUUUACUACUUCUGAUAAUUUAACAGCAGCAAAUGGCCAAAUCAGAGACUUACUUCAACUGUCAGCUCCAGAACAUGCCUUCUUUGCCAGGGUUGCUGUUAGCCUUGCACUCAACCUCUCUUGCCGUGGAGCUCAGUGUGAAACAAAGUUGUGUGCCAGUGCAUUCAAUGGGCAGAACCUAGAUGUCACCCAGAGCCCUCGCUGCAAGGGAGUCUGGGAAGUGUCGAUUUUAGUUUUUUAACCCCUAAUGUUGUUAGAAGGCAGUUGGAAUGAGGGUUGCAUGAGUCAUCUAUCAUCUGAUAAAUCAUGUUGCCUUACGCCUUCUGCUUCAGAAGGAAACGACACCACAGACAGGGCAGGAGGGAGCGUUCCUUGAUGUGUUUAGCAAAACAAUAGGCCUAAAGCCAAGCCUUAGAAGUUCUCUAAAAUGUUAGCAUAUUAAGGACCAAGGCAAGUAGACAGAUGAUACAGUUUUUCUCAAAGUCUGGAGAAGAUUAAAGCCUGUUAAAGCUUGGCCAGAAUGCUUGCUGCCCAAUAGAGAAGGCAGAUAAUGGAAAAAACGGGAGAGAGAAGGGUGAGACAGAGGUAGAAGAAGGCAGAUGUCAGAAUUCUUAUUUUUUUUUUCUUCCUCUAUUAGAACCAUCUAGCUAAAUAGAAGGAAGCUUAAGAAUUUAAGGAGUCUUCUGCCCCCUCUGGAUUAGGAAUCUGGUAUUCAGUUCCCUGGCAGCCACUUCUAUCGCCCAGUAAACUGAGUGGGGCAGCGUGGAUAAACAGAGGGGCUGCUGGAGUUAAGACAGGGAGUUUCUGUGACCUGAGUGGAGAGGAUAUGGGAGGUGGGAGAGUUGAAUACUAGCAGACAUGCCGUGUUGACCAGGGUUAUAGGGAAGUGUGGCUCUUCAGAAGAGUUGAGGGUUUACAACUCAUGUCAUGGUAGAAAAUGUGGAGACAUUCAGAGAGUUCAGGUCAGAUAGGCCCUCCUCUGCUAAUUCUUCUCCAACCACUUCCUUCUCCCAUUUUAUCCCCUGGUACUUCAAGGACACCAAAUAUCUCUCAGUAAAGUUUCCAUAGCUCAUUGUGCAUACUUCUAUAAUGCUACCUCAUAUGAUAUUAUGAUUAUUUGUUUAUGUAGCUAUCUUUUCACUAGAUUGUGAACUCUCCAAAGGGGGCUUUUAAUAUCUGUAUCUCUAGUUCUCUGCAUGUUUCCUUUUGGUAGGGGCUCAAUUAACAUUUUUUAAUAUAGUAAGACAUAUUCUUUAUCCUGUGUGUAGUUAUACUUGGCCUAAUUGUGUCAUGAUUUAGAAUGGGUAAUAUUUUCAGGGGAGGAUAUGAAAUAUGAUCAUGAACCUUUAAUAUGGGUAUGGGAUCUUGUAAUGUAGGUACGGAAUCAGGAAAUAAGCUUGUAGAAAGGGAAAGAAUAGGAAUUUGGAAGGGCAAGGAAAAGUAAAAAGAGUUGAACUUAGUACCUGGAGGAGGUGUGACCUUUCUCUUCUUUUCUGACUUUCUCAAGCAUUUUUAAAAGUGAGAAAUGAAAUGAUCUUUCUUGUUUUUAUUUUAAAUUGUGUAAAUUAUAUAAUUAAUAUAUAAAUGCAUUCUAAGUGUACAGUUUAAACCCUAUAAAAAAAAAAAAGCUAAAGUCCCUUUGGCCUCUGUGGUAGGCUGAAUAACAGUGUCCCCAGAGAUGCCUAUGUUCUCACCCUGGUUCCUGUGGAUAGCCACCUUGCAGGGUAAAAGAAACUUGGUUGAAGAUCUUGGCAAGGGGGUAUAAUCUUGGAUUAUCCAGAUGGGCCCAAGGUAAUGAUAAGAGUCUUUAUGGGAGGGAGGCAGGAAGAUCAAAGUUAGUAGUAGUUGUGAUGAUGGAAGCAAGAGUUUGGGUUGAUUUACGGAAGGGGCCACAAGCCAAGGAAUGCAGGUGUCCUCUUGAAGCUCAAAAAGGCAAUGAAAUAGAUUCUCCUCUCAGAGCUCUCAGAAGGAACUGGUCAUUUCUACACCUUGACUUUAGUCCAAUGAAACUGAUUUUGGACUUUUGACCUCUAGAACUGUAAGAUAAUAAAUUCACUUUUUUUUUUCAGAAGCCAUUAAGUUUGUGGUACUUUAUUACAAUGGCAAUAGGAAACAAAUCUAGCCUCUUAACCUUACUCUCUCUACCAGAGGUAACCAGUGUUGUCAAUGUGAUGUGUAUCUUUCUAAACCUUCUUUUCCAUAUCUAUCUAUCUAUCUAUCUAUCUAUCUAUCUAUCUAUCUAUCUAUCCAUCCAUCCAUCCAACUGUGCAUGUGUAAAUAGCAUGGGUUAGAGUGUUAUUAAAAUUUUACUGUGUAUAUUAUUAUACACUUUGCUUUUUUUAACUUAUCAUUGUGUCUCAAAAUUGGUUUUGAUUGGUAUGUAUUAAUAUACUUCCCUCCUUUCAGCUACUCUUUGAUUUUUCCAUUCUGUGGUCUUUCAUAACUUACAUGACCACUCCACCAAAUCAUUUUAUACACUUAGAUGUUGACAUUUACCUUUCUGACAUAUAGGGGGAACAUAACUGGUCGAAAAGCAUAAAGUUCUUGCUUCAGGAUAUUAAAGAACCCUCAGUUUUAACUAUAUAUGAUCAUCAUUGGAAAUACUUUAUUUCUCCCAUGUGAACCAUUUCAGGGGAGUGUGCCUGAUACAGCAAUGUUAACAAAUCCUGCCUGAUCCAAGAUUAUUUGUGAUUUUUUUUCUUUUUAAGUCUUAGAGUUUCGUGAACUAUGUUUUUUAUUCUGUGAUAGAUUAUAGCUUUAACAGAUUAAAAAAUGAUAGUGAAAAAUAAUCCCACCUUGCAAAGCAGUCCUUUUUGAUGCAGACUUGUCAAAGCAGAUAACAACACAUAAUAAGAUGUCACAGCUUGGUGAGAAAUGCAAAGCAGGUUUUAAAAACUGCCAAUACUGCAUAGCGACUUUAAUACUGAGGAUAGUAAAUAUGUGGAAGAAGAAACCAUUUGCUGCCAUUCUAUUUAAAUGUCUGGAAAUAUGUAGUUAUCAGAGCACCAAUAAAUGUCUCCUGUAGGUCAAGUUCUUUUUUUUUAAAAAAGCGCUUUGGUUUAUAGAAUCUCUUUAGAAAUUAAAUUCACUUUGCUACCCAAGACCUGUUCAAAGCACUUGCUGUCAGUCAGUAGAAAAGAUUUGGCUACCACCUUGGUGUUAAAUAUAAAUGUAGUCUAAAGGUUUAAUGGAUUAAAACUAUGCUAUUUAAUUUGAAAUGGAAUUUCCUACCCUCCUAGCUUAGGUAGUUAGGAUUUUGUGGGUUUGCUUUUAAUUCCAGCCUGGUUUAUAGGUCUAAUAGAGAAAAGGCAGCCAUGGGUUGAGAAUGCAAGUGUGUCAAAUUUUGAAUUGCGGAGACAGGUCUCCUUUUGGUAGAAGAAUAAGGGACAAAAACAGCCUAUUAACUCCAACUUGUUAAAAUUUACCCCCUAGUUCAUUAUCUUCCCUCCCCCUAUUCACACCAAAAGAGUAGAUAAAAGGUAAGCAACAACAACAAGAGAUAUUAUAUGCAGAGGUGAACACGAUAUGACAAGGUCUUCUUUUAAUAACCAACAGUGUAAACUCUCUAGGAGGUAGACCAUAUGAAGUACAGCAAAAACUGUAAUUAUGCUCUCAGCAGGAAACCUGUUUUGGAGUGACAGUUAAGAGUGUCUCUAAAAACCUGUUAGGUUAUGGCUGCUAGUCUUAAUUAUACGUAUUAAGAGUUUGUAUCCUCACUUUUUUUCUUUUAAAAUUCAAAGAAGAAACCUAAUUAUAACUUGGACUCAAGUGAAUUGCGCCAUAUUUAAACAAUGAACAUUUGGCAACCUCAUUGUGCACCAUGAUGUGUCGUACUGGUGCAGCUGCUAUGGAAGCCAAACUGGCUCCCCCAGAUAAUUUGUUUUUGCUGCCUCGAUGACAGAGGAAAAACAAACAAAAGCUAGGCAAGGAAAAUAAUGAAAUUAUGCUUUUUUUUUUUCUUCAGUCAGUGACACCCAAGCCUUCUAGAGGGGGUGAUCAUUUCUUGGGUUCUGUUAAGAUUAGAUUAUAAUCGUAUGAGUAAAUGUCUGAAUAUAGGGAUUGUGACCUAAUAUUAUUGGGAUCACUUAUUAAGAUGACACUUUAUGAUUUUGCUCAUGUUACAAAGUUGUGAGGUGAACUGACCAAAAUUAAUUUCAUGAGUUUAAUGGUAAAAUUCAUGCUGAUAUGACUGAGCUAAUGAAUCUAGCUGAUAAAUGUGAAUUUAAUCUAUUUGAUACCCUUCUUUAUGACUCUAAUUCCUUGAAGUUCUCAUGGGUUCCAUGACCCAGGCAAUUUCAAGAUGGUGUGGGUGAAAUAAUGAUGGCUGAAUGAUUUGAUCCUGAAUCAUUUGUUUCUCGCUAUGCUCCCAGGUAGAAAUGGAACUCAGAGCUAAUAUAUUUCCUUCUCUUUGGCAUGUAUAUCUAACUAAAUUGAAUUUCUAUAAUUUACCUUCAAAUAGUAUAAAACCAGAGUGGUUUUGAAAGGAUUUAAGUAAGUGCUUAAAAUUUUGGAAACCGUUUGUAUAUUGUGUAUUUAUUGGUACCCCCAUUGAAGUUUGAAUCUUGGGUAAUCCAACUUUCACUUUUAUUGAAAUACUAAUUUAG